rnacentral:rRNA from 1 species
UAUCUCUGUAGAGUCUGCAUAUCAAUAAGCGGAGGAAAAGAAACUAACUAGGAUUCCCUUAGUAACGGCGAGUGAAGCGGGAAGAGCUCAAAUUUGAAAUCUUCAAGGUUUUACCUUGACGAAUUGUAGUUUAAAGAAGUGUUUUCUGUUGGUGUUUUGGUAAAAGUUCUUUGGAAUAGGACAUCAUAGAGGGUGAGGAUCCCGUAUUUGACCAUUACUUCCAGCGUUGUGAUACACUUUCAAAGAGUCGGAUUGUUUGGGAAUGCAGUCCAAAAUGGGUGGUAAAUUUCAUCUAAAGCUAAAUAUUGGCGAGAGACCGAUAGCGAACAAGUACCGUGAGGGAAAGAUGAAAAGAACUUUGAAAAGAGAGUUAAACAGUACGUGAAAUUGUCAAAAGGGAAGCGUUUGACACCAGUGUUGUUUUCUCGAAAAUCAAUUAAAAAAUGCUUGGAUUUUGUAUUGUAAUUGACCUUAAAAGCUUUCUUCACUUUUUUCAUGUCUUUUUUAAUGCACUUUUCGUUUAACAAGUCAACAUCAGUUUCUUUUGUUGUAAAAAGGUCAUUGGAAGGUGGCUUUCUUUUCGGAGAAAGUGUUUAUAGCCUUUGACUUCUGCAAUCGGAGAGACUGAGGUCUGCAGCGUAGAUCCUUCUGGAUUAGAUUCAUUUGUGCUAAGUUACAACCGUUUAUAGACAACUUGUUGACUAUAUUCGAUCCUGUAGCUUACUCGCUUAUGUAAUUUUACCUACGCUUAGGAUGUUGAAGAUGUAGCACAUCAU